AUACGUAGGUGGCGAGCGUUAUCCGGAUUUACUGGAUGUAAAGGGUGUGUAGGCGGGACUGCAAGUCAGAUGUGAAAAUCACGGGCUCAACCCGUGACCUGCAUUUGAAACUGGGGUUCUUGAGGGUCGGAGAGGUAACCGGAAUUCCUGGUGUAGCGGUGAAAUGCGUAGAUAUCAGGAGGAACACCGGUGGCGAAGGCGGGUUACUGGACGAUUACUGACGCUGAGACACGAAAGCGUGGGGAGCAAACAGGAUUAGAUACCCUGGUAGUCCACGCUGUAAACGAUGAAUGCUAGGUGUGGGGUUUUAGGAUUCCGUGCCGGAGUAAACACAAUAAGCAUUCCACCUGGGGAGUACGGCCGCAAGGUUGAAACUCAAAUGAAUUGACGGGG
rnacentral:rRNA from 1 species